rnacentral:rRNA from 1 species
UACGUAGGUGGCAAGCGUUGUCCGGAUUUACUGGGCGUAAAGAGCGCGCAGGCGGUCGUUCAAGUCGCGUGUGAAAGCCCCCGGCUCAACUGGGGAGGGUCACGCGAUACUGAUCGACUCGAAGGCAGGAGAGGGUAGUGGAAUUCCCGGUGUAGUGGUGAAAUGCGUAGAUAUCGGGAGGAACACCAGUGGCGAAAGGCGACUACCUGGCCUGUUUCUUGACGCUGAGGCGCGAAAGCUAGGGGAGCAAACGGG